AGAGUUUGAUCCUGGCUCAGGAUGAACGCUAGCGGCAGGCUUAACACAUGCAAGUCGAGGGGCAUCGCGGAGUAGCAAUACUCUGGCGGCGACCGGCGAAAGGGUGAGUAACGCGUGAGCAACAUGCCCGAUAGAGGAGGAUAGUCGAUGGAAACGUCGUGUAAUACUCCGUAACAACAGUUUUCGCAUGGAGAUUGUUUAAUAGAUUUAUCGCUAUCGGAUUGGCUCGCGUCCCAUUAGGCAGUUGGCGGGGUAACGGCCCACCAAACCGACGAUGGGUAGGGGUUCUGAGAGGAAGGUCCCCCACAUUGGAACUGAGACACGGUCCAGACUCCUACGGGAGGCAGCAGUGAGGAAUAUUGGUCAAUGGCCGAGAGGCUGAACCAGCCAUGCCGCGUGCGGGAGGACGGCCCUAUGGGUUGUAAACCGCUUUUGAGUGAGAGCAAUAAGGUUCACGUGUGGACCGAUGAGAGUAUCAUUCGAAUAAGCAUCGGCUAACUCCGUGCCAGCAGCCGCGGUAAUACGGAGGAUGCAAGCGUUAUCCGGAUUUAUUGGGUUUAAAGGGUGCGUAGGCGGCUUGGUAAGCGGGAGGUGAAAUGCCGGCGCUCAACGUCGGAAGUGCCUCCCGAACUGUCGGGCUUGAAUGGUUGUGCCGUGGGAGGAAUGAGUGGUGUAGCGGUGAAAUGCUUAGAGAUCACUCAGAACACCGAUUGCGAAGGCAUCUCACGAACGACUGAUUGACGCUGAGGCACGAAAGCGUGGGGAUCAAACAGGAUUAGAUACCCUGGUAGUCCACGCAGUAAACGAUGAUGGCUAACCGCUGGUUCAUCCGGAUCAGUGGCCAAGCGAAAGCGAUAA
rnacentral:rRNA from 1 species